rnacentral:rRNA from 1 species
GUUAUAUGGUCAAGCGAAUAAGCGCACAUGGUGGAUGCCUUGGCGGUCAGAGGCGAUGAAGGACGUGGUAGCCUGCGAAAAGUGUCGGGGAGCUGGCAACAAGCUUUGAUCCGGCAAUAUCCGAAUGGGGGAACCCACUGUUUAGGCAGUAUCUUUGAGUAAAUUCAUAGCUCAAGGAGGCGAACCUGGUGAACUGAAAUAUCUAAGUAACCAGAGGAAAAGAAAUCAACAGAGAUUCCCUGAGUAGUGACGAGCGAACGGGGAUUAGCCCUUAAGCUAGUAUGGUUUUAGGAAAGCAAUCUGGAAAGGUUGGCCAUAGAAGGUGAUAGCCCUGUAUCCGAAAGGGCCGUACUAGUGAAGAUGAGUAGGACGGGGCACGUGAAACCUUGUCUGAAUAUGGGGGGUCCAUCCUCCAAGGCUAAAUACUCCUGACCGACCGAUAGUGAACUAGUACCGUGAGGGAAAGGCGAAAAGAACCCCGGAGAGGGGAGUGAAAUAGAACCUGAAACCAUGUGCGUACAAGCAGUAGGAGCCCUUAUGGGUGACUGCGUACCUUUUGUAUAAUGGGUCAGCGACUUACUGUUCGUGGCGAGCUUAACCGUAUAGGGGAGGCGAAGGGAAACCGAGUCUGAUAAGGGCGCAUAGUCGCGGGCAGUAGACCCGAAACCGGGUGAUCUAGUCAUGUCCAGGGUGAAGGUGCUGUAACAGGUACUGGAGGCCCGAACCCACUCCCGUUGCAAAGGUAGGGGAUGAGGCGUGAUUAGGAGUGAAAAGCUAAUCGAACCCGGAGAUAGCUGGUUCUCCUCGAAAGCUAUUUAGGUAGCGCCUCAUAUGUAUCCUCUCGGGGGUAGAGCACUGUUAUGGCUAGGGGGUCAUCGCGACUUGCCAAACCAUUGCAAACUCCGAAUACCGAGAAGGACUGUAUGGGAGACACACGGCGGGUGCUAACGUCCGUCGUGAAAAGGGAA